rnacentral:snoRNA from 1 species
GUGUGUGCUGUGAUGAAGAUAAUUUAUUUGGACUAGAGUUUCUGAUUUUUUUAGUUGAAGAUUAACCCUUGGCUGUCUGGGCACACAA